AAAAGUUGUUCUUUAAAUUAGAACCGUAUCCGGAAGCGUUAUUUGAAGAGGUUAGAGAGCUUCACAACAACAAAAGUUCUGCAAUUCUCCAAAUUUCCAGGAAGAUUCCUGGAAGAAAAGGACCACUUGCGCACCUACUUUGUUUAAAGGAAAAUGAAAAGGGGUUCAAAUGUUACUUGUUAGUGGGAAAUAAAUACUAAGAACAACCAGUUUAGUUAGUAAGGGAAAAAGAAAAGGUUGGAGAAGGUCGCGUUGUUUCAAACUGAUUUUGAGCUUUAUACCUACUGCAGCAAUUGCUUCAAUCUAAUUUACCAACAUAUUUCCAUUGGCUUCAAUGAGUACCAAAGGAGCCUCACCGUUGACAUCAU